rnacentral:tRNA from 1 species
GCCGACGUAGCUCAGUUGGUAGAGCAGGUCAUUCGUAAUGAUCAGGUCGGAGGUUCGACUCCUCUCGUCGGCU